AUGGCUCCUGGCACCGAUGGGAAGGGUGUCAUGGCUGGUUGUGGCCCACAGCCACCAGGGAUGGUCACGGAACAGCAGGGAUGCUCAGCAGACACCAGGGAUGCUGGUGGAACUUCCACACCAGGGAUGCUCAGCAGACACCAGAGAUGCUCGUGGAACUUCCACACUAGGGAUGCUCAUGGGACACCAGGGAUGCUCUUGGAACUUCUGCACCAGGGAUGCUCAGCAGACACCAGGGAUGCUCGUGGGACACUGGGGAUGCUGGUGGAACUUCCACACCAGGGAUGCUCAGCAGACACCAGGGAUGCUCGUGGGACACUGGGGAUGCUGGUGGAACUUCCACACCAGGGAUGCUCAGCAGACACCAGGGAUGCUCGUGGGACACCAGGGAUGCUGGUAGAACUUCUGCACCAGGGAUACUCAGCAGACACCAGGGAUGCUCGUGGGACACCAGGGAUGCUCGUGGAUCUUCCACACCAAGGAUGCUCACGGGACACCAGGGAUGCUCGUGGAAUUUCCACACCAGGGAUGCUCGUGGGACACCAUGGAUGCUCUCCAGCACACGGCGUCAGGUCAGCAUCGCCAAAACACCGUUUUUUGGGCAGAAGGUGCGUUGCUGCCGACCCUGCUCGUACCCCUCCGUGGUUCUCCGCGGUGGGGGGUCCCGGGAAUCAGUUCACCGAGCCCCCCCCCCUUCCCGGCGUGUGAUUCCCCAGCCACACUGUCCUUAAAUGCGCCGUCACGAUGGAGCCAGGCACACGAGAUGGGAGCAUCCCCGGUGGGGACCGGUAACGCUUCCGCCCCCUUUCCCCCCCCCAAAAAAAAAAACUCCGCUACCGCCGCCGGAGGGGUUUGUAGACGCAGACGGCCAUGAGGAUGAUGGUGAGGAGGAGGGCGCUGAGGAUGCUGCCCAGCAGCACUGCGGGAGGAGGAGGAGGAGAGGUUAGGAUCUGAGUGCAUCCC
rnacentral:lncRNA from 1 species